UAUACUUUCAAAUUACAAACUUUAUUCAUGAAAAGAGAAUCCAAGAAACAUUAAAAAUGAGAAUAGUGACUAUAAUGCAAUAAAAUGUAGUCUUCAUGUAUCUGAACACAGAGCAAGGUCAUCUAGUUAAGCUUGCCAUAAAUAUAAAUCUCUUAGGUCUCAGUCCUUUGGAGGUUCCAGUGAGUUUGCAUGGGACUUGGAAUCUGUGAUUGAACAAGUGUCUUCGGUGGCCAGUCUGUAGAUCAGUGUUGAAAAGGCUAAGUCCAGCUGUGUAAUUCCAAACUCUUAUUCUGUUUUAGAGAUAAUUCACAGUAAUUUUUUAAAAAUCCAUAUUUCUGUGCCCAAGCAAAAUGAUUCAAUUCUGUAAAGCUGGAAUGGUAUAUAGGAACAUACAUUUUAACAAAUGCACCAGGAAAUUCCAGUAUUGGGAAUACAUAGACAUACUCUGGAAACCUGGUUUAUUCAUCAGGACACACUUGGACAGACUUUACUCAAAUAACCUUAAACAGAGUAAAAUUAAGGGCUUCCCAGGUGGCAUUAGUGGUAAAGAACCAAUCUGCCAAUGCAGUAGACAUAAAAGACUAGGGUUUGAUCCCUGAUCAGAAGAUCCCACCGAGAAGGAAAUGGCAACCCACUUCAGUAUUCCUGCCUGAAGAAUCCCAUGGACAGAGAAACCUGGCAGGCUACAGUCCAUGGGGUCAGAGUCAGACAUGACUGAAGUGACUUAGUACACAGGCACAUCAGUGCUAAGAGAAAGAAGGAUAGAGAGAUAUUCCUUUUCCCUAAACUAUGUGUAUUUUCAUAAUUUCUGUAACCAUCAGGUCUUCAUAAUGCUUUGCAUAGGGGCCAAGCUUCCCAUUCAGACUUUACUCAAAUAACCUCAAACAGAGUAAAAUUAAAAGCCUCUCUAAGAAGAAGCAUCUGUNNNNNNNNNNNNNNNNNNNNNNNNNNNNNNNNNNNNNNNNNNNNNNNNNNNNNNNNNNNNNNNNNNCAUAGAACAUUUAAGGAGAGUUACUCUUUCUUAGUGUUCUGUCUGUCCUUUCAAAUUUUCUCUAGUUUCUGAAGAGCUCUCUUUCACAUUUCCCUUUUAUAUUAUAAUUCCUUUAACUCAGGAUCAAAUAAAUACGGGAAGCCUCAAAGUUAAUUCCACCCAUAGACAUAAUUUUGGAAAUUUAAAAAUUUUAUUUUCAAACUGUCUGUCAUUUCAGUGUUUGUGUUUAAAUUGAACCAACCAUUAAAACCUGUGCAUAUACACAAGAAUUCUAGUUUGAUUUUCCUUGUUAAAAAUUAAUUUGAGAUAAUUUGAUAAUGUUGAGCCUGAGGGUUAUAUAUGGUAAUAAUUUGCGAGUAGAACUCACCAGCUUUUAAAACAGUGUGAUAUAUCUAGUUUACCGUUAUCUCUAUCACUCCUGGUAAUUUUUCUCAUGAUUCACAUAUGUUAGCCU
rnacentral:lncRNA from 1 species